GUGACAUUCCGUUUCUUACUUUCCUUGUUUAUCUGCAGCUAUUACACGUGUCGGUGUUUUGUAGAUCUUUGGUGUUUUCUAAAGGUGCUCAGUUUUGUUAAUAUAUGUUCGGAAACAAAUUGCGUCAUAUCUGUGUCCUCUGUGUCAGAGACAUGAUUUUGCAUCAACUCCCCAAUGUUUCGAGUACCCUUCAGGUGUCUGAAACACAAUGCAGGUUUGGCAUGUGGGAGGUUAACAGCCG